rnacentral:rRNA from 1 species
CGGAGGAUCCAAGCGUUAUCCGGAAUCAGUUGGGUUUAAAGGGUCCGUAGGCGGUUUAGUAAGUCAGUGGUGAAAGCCCAUCGCUCAACGGUGGAACGGCCAUUGAUACUGCUAAACUUGAAUUAUUAGGAAGUAACUAGAAUAUGUAGUGUAGCGGUGAAAUGCUUAGAGAUUACAUGGAAUACCAAUUGCGAAGGCAGGUUACUACUAAUGGAUUGACGCUGAUGGACGAAAGCGUGGGUAGCGAACAGGAUUAGAUACCCUGGUAGUCCACGCCGUAAACGAUGGAUACUAGCUGUUGGGGGCAACUUCAGUGGCUAAGCGAAAGUGAUAAGUAUCCCACCUGGGGAGUACGUUCGCAAGAAUG